rnacentral:rRNA from 1 species
CUCCGCCGGCGACCGGCGCACGGGUGAGUAACACGUAUGCGACCUGCCCCCGCAGGGGGAUAACCGGGAGAAAUCCCGACUAAUACCGCGUAACGCCGCGGACCUGCAUGGGUCUGCGGUCAAAGGAAGCGAUUCCGGCGGGGGAUGGGCAUGCGGCGCAUUAGCUAGUCGGCGGGGUAACGGCCCACCGAGGCGACGAUGCGUAGGGGUUCUGAGAGGAAGGUCCCCCACACUGGUACUGAGACACGGACCAGACUCCUACGGGAGGCAGCAG